rnacentral:rRNA from 1 species
GGACUACAGGGGUAUCUAAUCCCGUUUGCUCCCCUGGCUUUCGUGCCUCAGCGUCAGGAAUUGUCCAGAGACUCGCCUUCGCCACUGGUGUUCCACUUGAUAUCUACGCAUUUCACUGCUACACCAAGUAUUCCAGUCUCCCUUCCAAUCCUCUAGCCGAAUAGUAUCCGACGCAGUUUCCGGGUUAGGCCCGGAGAUUUCACGUCAGACUUACCCGACCGCCUACGCACCCUUUACGCCCAGUGAAUCCGAACAACGCUUGGGACCUCUGUAUUACCGCGGCUGCUGGCAC